rnacentral:rRNA from 1 species
CCUACGGGGGGCUGCAGUCGAGGAUCAUUUGCAAUGGGCGAAAGCCUGACAAUGCGACGCUGCGUGGAGGAUGAAGGCCUUCGGGUCGUAAACUCCUGUCGUUCGGGAACAAUUCCUGGAGGGUGAAUAUCCCUUCAGAUUGAUAGUACCGGAAAAGGAAGCCACGGCUAACUCUGUGCCAGCAGCCGCGGUAAUACAGAGGUGGCAAGCGUUGUUCGGAUUUACUGGGCGUAAAGGGUGCGUAGGCGGUUUCGUAUGUCGGACGUGAAAUCCCAUUGCUUAACGAUGGAACUGCGUUCGAAACUGCGGGACUCGAGUGCAGGAGAGGAGAGCGGAAUUCUUGGUGUAGCGGUGAAAUGCGUUGAUAUCAAGAAGAACACCGGUGGCGAAGGCGGCUCUCUGGAAUGUUACUGACGCUGAGGCACGAAAGCGUGGGGAGCAAACAGGAUUAGAUACCCCAGUAGUCCG